rnacentral:lncRNA from 1 species
CCAGUAGCCCUGGUUGGUGGUUCCCAGUGCAUAAAAAGGCCUUAGUCCAAGCCCUAGGUGUGGAAAUGGGCCCCAGGCAACAAAGGUUUAGCACACACUGAUUCCUCUGGGUGCCUGUUUCCGUCCUUGUGCCUGAGGUGGAAGUGACCAAGGAGUGUACCCUGCCACUGUCCCAGCCACAAUGGUAAAUCUGAGGGCAGGUGGAGGCCUUGGUCACA